UACGAAGGGGGCUAGCGUUGCUCGGAAUUACUGGGCGUAAAGCGCACGUAGGCGGCUUCUUAAGUCGGUGGUGAAAUCCUGGAGCUCAACUCCAGAACUGCCUUCGAUACUGGGAAGCUCGAGUCCGGGAGAGGUGAGUGGAAUUCCUGGUGUAGCGGUGAAAUGCGCAGAUAUCAGGAGGAACACCGGUGGCGAAGGCGGGUCUCUGGGCCAAUACUGACGCUGAGGAGCGAAAGCGUGGGGAGCGAACAGG
rnacentral:rRNA from 1 species